rnacentral:rRNA from 1 species
AUUGAACGCUGGCGUCAUGCCUUACACAUGCAAGUCGAACGGCAGCACGGGUGCUUGCACCUGGUGGCGAGUGGCGAACGGGUGAGUAAUACAUCGGAACGUACCUUAUCGUGGGGGAUAACGCAGCGAAAGCUGUGCUAAUACCGCAUACGCCCUGAGGGGGAAAGCGGGGGAUCGCAAGACCUCGCGCGAUUAGAGCGGCCGAUGCCUGAUUAGCUUGUUGGUGGGGUAAAAGCCCACCAAGGCGACGAUCAGCAGCUGGUCUGAGAGGACGAUCAGCCACACUGGGACUGAGACACGGCCCAGACUCCUACGGGGGGCAGCAGUGGGGAAUUUUGGACAAUGGGGGCAACCCUGAUCCAGCAAUGCCGCGUGAGUGAAGAAGGCCUUCGGGUUGUAAAGCUCUUUUGUCAGGGAAGAAACACCGGCUCUAACACAGUCUGGGAAUGACGGUACCUGAAGAAUAAGCACCGGCUAACUACGUGCCAGCCGCCGCCGUAA